GGGUGCGAUCAUACCAG
rnacentral:rRNA from 1 species